rnacentral:lncRNA from 1 species
AAAACACCCGUUCCAGACGUCCCGAAAGUGUAUUUUCUUUUUACAGUCAAUUUUCAUUUUAGUUUAAUAAUUGAUCCACAGCAGUCAUUGAUAUAUUAUUCAGACCCUCUCUAUUAAAUAAACCCUGUGACUGCCGUGGAUAGUAAACUUGAAAAUGAUAUUAGACAGAAAAUACACUUUAUUCGUAGUAUAUGUAUUUGUUUCAAAGUAAAAAGAAAAACGCAAACCGGAGGUUUAAUCUGAC